CACCAGUUCCCAGGUGCAAGGGCCCUUUCAUCGCUGCUUGAUAAUUGAAUUUUGUAAAUACUCUGUUUGACAUUCUGCUAGAUCAUUGUAAAUAUCUGAGCACUAAUUUGAGCACUUUGUUUGAACGGUAAUAGGAGUGAGUAGCCUGUUUUUUUUUAAUUAGAUGUUUUCCCCUGUUUACGGUUUAGGAGAACAGGUUACAGACCUGUUUGGCUUUUGUUGUCUUUGUAGGAAAGUUUAGGGUUUUGAGUAUAUUUUUUUGUUUGUUGUGUUUGGUAUUGACUCACAUCUGAGAUAACAAUUGUACAGUAGCCCAGAAUGGACAAACCUAACA